rnacentral:rRNA from 1 species
UACAGAGGGGGCAAGCGUUAUUCGGAAUUACUGGGCGUAAAGGGCUCGUAGGCGGCCAACUAAGUCGGACGUGAAAUCCCCAGGCUCAACCUGGGAACUGCGUCCGAUACUGGAUGGCUUGAAUCCGGGAGAGGGAUGCAGAAUUCCAGGUGUAGCGGUGAAAUGCGUAGAUAUCUGGAGGAAUACCGGUGGCGAAGGCGGCAUCCUGGACCGGCAUUGACGCUGAGGAGCGAAAGCCAGGGGAGCAAACGGG